AGAAAAUGUCACGUCACUGUCAUCAAAUAAGAGUUACGACGACAUAUUUUGUACAAAAAAUUGUUGUAUUUUUGCAACGUGGUCGUGACGUGGACAAUAGAAUUAUAUGUCAUGACGUGGCAGUGGUUAUAGAGCGUAGUAGGGACCAGUCAAGGAGUGCAAACCCCCCGGAAACCGAGACAAAGUCCGCCCCGGCAAGUCGCGUAGACCCGUAGAUCGCGCAUUGGGGGCGGUAAAUCGUUCUAGCACCGGGAGGCCGCAAACCUGAACGAUCCACGAAAGGCAGCAGUUCUGUGCGCCGGCGUCUCGAAAACACUA